GGGGAUGUAAAGGCUUCGACAGGGUUGUUGAGAUUGGAAUAGCGGGUAGAGGAUGCGCGUUGGCCUCUUUAAAAAACGGGCAAAAAAUUUAGUUGCAAAAACUAAUAGAUUCGCUGUAGCUGCGUAAGCUUGGCGCACAAACUUGAUGAAUCUGCUAAUUGAGUGAUUGUGUUAGACUAGCAGACCUUGAUCGUUAGAGGUCAAACUUUCAAAUUUCAAGUUAAGCUUUGCCCUUGGAAUUAUCUAUGAAGCUACUUUCAUAAGCGAUUGUUCAAAGUCUACCUUAUGAGGGGAAUUUAGAAAAUUUGAACUGCACCCGGAGAAGUUCUGAUUAAGGCGAUUUUGGACACGAGUUCGAUUCUCGUCAUCUCCAUUC
rfam:Clostridiales bacterium KA00274 genomic scaffold Scaffold7, whole genome shotgun sequence.